UCCUCAGUAGCUCAGUGAUAGAGCGGUCGACUGUUAAUUGACUGGUCAUAGGUUCGAAUCCUACCUAAGGAG